UCGGAGAAAGUUUAUACUUGGACGAUUCUGGAUCGCAGCUAAGCUCCCGAGUGUUACGUUAAGUGCACACUCGGAGAUAGGUAGUACUUAGGCGAUUCUGGAUCGCAGCUAAGCCCCCGAGUGUGACGUGAAGUGCACACUCGUAGAAGGUUAAUACUUAGGCGAUUCUGGAUCGCAGCUAAGUUCCCGAGUGUGACGUGAAUUGCACACUCGGAGAAGGUUAGUACUUAGGCGAUUCUGGAUCGCAGCUAAGCCCCGAGUGUGACGUGAAGUGCACACUCGAAGAAGGUUAGUACUUAGGCGAUUCUGGAUCGCAGCUAAGCCCCGAGUGUGACGUGAAGUGCACACUCGAAGA
rnacentral:lncRNA from 1 species